rnacentral:rRNA from 1 species
CUAUAGCGUAGUGAAUCAUCGAAUCUUUGAACGCACUUUGCACCUUGUGGCUUUUGUCACAAGGUAUACUUGUUUGAGUAUCUACAACAACUCACCUCCCCCUUGGGGCGAAGUGGACUUGAGAUUCGAUGAGAGCUUCCUCUUUUCAAGAGGAAAAUCGAGUCGUCUCUUUAAAUGAGCUGGCCAUCGUGGAAAGACUCCGUCUGGAGCCGACAGACCAUUGGGAUAACAUCCUAACGAUCGUGUGUCGGCUUGCCAUUGUCUAACGACAAUUGGACGUUGACUGACCUGGCCAACAGCUGAAGGAGUGCAGGCGACUGCAUGAAUUCAUGUUACUUUGUACAAAUACAUAACGUGUCUGUUCAAGGCAACCGAGUCAUAGAUCUCAAAUCAAGUAAGGAUACCCGCCGAACUUAAGCAUAUCAAUAAGCGGAGG